rnacentral:lncRNA from 1 species
UUAUCGUGGGCGUGUGAGGCUCUUGGCCUUGACCUAAGGUGUUAAUUGUUUGGCAGGUGCAUUUUCAUCCAAAAAGAAAAGGCGGAAAUUUGCAUCCACAAAUUGGUGCUUUCAUUGAGAGUCAUUUGCACGCUUGAAGAAGACUUUCGCAUUCAAAGUUUCUCAUUUCUUGUUCAUUUGUAGAUUUUUCGUACAUUCUUAUUUCUA